AUUGAUUAUUUGGCAGUGUGAAACUAAAUUAUUGUUUAAAUGAACGAUAAGUAUAAAAUGAUAUAUGGUUAUUGCAUGAUUGAUUAUUAUGCUAAUGGAAAUCUGUAUAGGGAAGACUUACUGGGUACCCAGAUAAGGACGGAUGGACCCGGUACAUAAGGAACCCUAUCGUGAACGUUACCGCAGUCAGACGGGGUUGGAAAAUCCUUUACCAGGAAAGUUUGGGAGAUAUG
rnacentral:lncRNA from 1 species